rnacentral:rRNA from 2 species
UACGUAUGGGGCAAGCGUUAUCCGGAUUCAUUGGGCGUAAAGAGCGCGUAGGCGGCUUGUUAAGUUAGGUGUGAAAUCCGGGGGCUUAACCCGCGGCUUGCAUCUAAAACUGGCAGGCUUGAGUCUGGUAGAGGAAAGUGGAAUUCCCAGUGUAGCGGUGAAAUGCGCAGAUAUUGGGAGGAACACCAGUGGCGAAGGCGGCUUUCUGGGCCACGACUGACGCUGAGGCGCGAAAGCUAGGGGAGCAAACAGG